rnacentral:rRNA from 1 species
UACGGGGGGGAGCAAGCGUUGUUCGGAUUUACUGGGCGUAAAGGGCGCGUAGGCGGCGCAACAAGUCACUUGUGAAAUCUCCGGGCUUAACCCGGAACUGCCAAGUGAUACUGUAGUGCUAGAGUACAGAAGGGGCAACUGGAAUUCUCGGUGUAGCGGUGAAAUGCGUAGAUAUCGAGAGGAACACCUGCGGCGAAGGCGGGUUGCUGGGCUGAUACUGACGCUGAGGCGCGAAAGCCAGGGGAGCGAACGGG